AACUUCUAGAGCGCAUGCGUUUCGCCCACCCAGGCCCGGGCGCGGUUAGGGGUGACUCCCACGAUCCCUAGCGGCUGCAGAGUGGAACAUGGCGGCCUCCUUGCCGCUUGCGUUACCAGAGUCCACCCGGCCUCGUGCUUUCUCCGGGCGCCCGUAGCUGGCGCCGGCAUCCACAAAAAUAGAUCAGGUAAAGCAGCAGAGUAAGGCAUAGGAAGACUUGGUCGGGCUCCGCGGCCCCUCUUUACCGGAUUGGAGGCUGCGCGGGUGAAAUCGAGCUUUAAACUCCCCUGGCCUCGGAACACCAUUUGUAGCCUCUGAAGGAGGAGGACUUAUAAGAUUCUGUACUAAGGCAGCCGUGGGAAGGGAGGAGAACCAGGUCGGCCCGCGCGCUCCCGGCUGCUUUUGCUCUCCCUUUGGUUUCGAAAGCGUCAAGUCCCAAGACAGAGGAUGAAUAAAGAGGAAGCUCCAGGCUGUGAAGCGUCUAGUCCUUGCUCCCCUCAGAAGCUGGGACAUGUUGGACCAAGGUGGUAAGGAUAGUGAGUUUCCCAGAAGCUGGACAAGCCACGACGGCGCCUUCCAAUAAAAGGGGAACUCCAGAGACGCUAUGAGAAAAGAGGAACAGACAUCUGCAAUAGAUAUCUGCAACUUCCUUUUCAAAAACACCAUCGGCAUUGCUUUCUCAGGAAGCCACUGCCAGCCUAUUGUGAUAGCUGACACUGAGUUCCUGAGAAUUCUCUAAUUAGGAUCCCAGAUUGGAGGGUCAGCCAGUGGUUAACAUAUAAUGGACACAAAACUGAUUUUACUGGAAGACUGAGGGUGGGCACUCACCAUGGUUCUAAGCAUUCAUUACUCAGAAGAUCCAUAAAAACAUUACAGUUCUGUUGUGUAAGAGUUUAGGAAAAAAAGAAAAUCCUGACAAAAAUCCCAACCUAAAAAACAGUGUCAACAUUUGUAAGUAGGAUGGGGAGGCAGAGAUGAAUUGGCAGUGUUAUCACAGCUACUGGACUAUGUGGACUUUAACAAAGUAAGAAACGGGUGGGGGUUGGGUGGUGGUAUCUUAAUAGAGCAGGAGUAGAGACGGAUGUCCUGGGGCAGAAUGGGUACCAAUGCUGCCUGAAGCCUGGAGCUGGGAGCUGAGGACUAAGAGGUAGACAGGAGGGUGGGGACCGGUACCUGCUCCAAGGAACUGGUGCCCCAGAACUGGUGAGCUGGGGUAUGCAUUUAGCUCAUUCGUUUACCAGAAUGCAGUCACCACCUGAUGAAAGAAAUGACUAAUGGCAGGACUUGAACAGUUCUCUAUAAAUGAGUACCUGGGAGAAAAACAGGUCUCCAGGCUCCACAAUACCCAAUAAACACACUGCCUUUAGCCCACUUCAAGCUGCACUUCUUACAUGGAACCCAACCCAACCAACCUCAGAGGUAAGGGUGAGAGCAGGCAAUGAACAGCUAUGAUUCUCCAUUCCCUGGCCAGGCAGGGAGCCUUUCCAUCCACCCUCGUGAGACUGCUUGUAACAGAAAUAAGGAAACCGACUCCAAGGCUCAGUAACCCACCCAAGGUCAGAACCACGGAGUGGCAGGGCCUGUGAGCCACAAAGGAGACUGAAAACCAGAAAGAGCUUCUCUCUGGUCUGUUAUUUUAAGAAAAACAUGCCCAGAGGGGCCACCUGGAAGCAAGGCUGUGUGGCACCCUCACCUUCCUAAUUAAACAACAACUUCCCAGGAGCAACGACAGCAACAACAGCCUGGCCCAGCAGAUGAACUCGAAUCAAUCCAAGCCCUUCCCCUAUACGGGUCAGUUUGGGCACUACUUUACCUGCUGUGAAGUCUACUGGGAUCUUCCAGGAAAGUCCCACCUCAUUAGUAAAAAGAAAAACAAAGACUCGGGAAGAAAGUUCCUGCCCUCCCUGUUGAAUGCUGUGUGAGGAUAAGAUGUCUGGAGCAUGGCAGUCACCCUGUGACUAUCAGAAGGCCAGGCGUACCACAAGGUGGUCAUUCCAGUGCUCUGAAUCAGCCCCAAACCACUUCCCUCAAGACUCAUGUUCUGAGGUGAUUAAAAGUGUGCUUUGAAGGUAAAUCUAGGAUGACAGUCAACAGAUCAGUGAUUGCCAGGAGUCAGGGGUAGAGGGAGGGAAGAACAGAUGGAGCACAGAGAAUUUUUAGGGCAGUGAAAAUGUUCUGUAUGAUACUAUAUAUAAUGGAUACAUGCCAUUAUACACUUGUCCAAAUGCACAGAAUGUACACCACCAAGAGUGAACCCUAAUGUAAACUAUGGACUUUGGGUGAUCAUGAUGUGUCAAUGCAGGUUCGUCAAUUGCAACACACGUACCAUUCUAGUGGGGGGUGUUGAUAACAGGAGGCUAUGCAUGUGUGGGACCAGGGGAUAUAUGGGAAAUCUCUGUACAUGCCUCUCAAUUUUGCUGAGAAUCUGAAACUGCUCUUAAUGAAGUCUUACAAAAAUAAAGAAGUCUGCUUUGCCUUAAAAAAAAAAAAAAAAAAAAAAAAAAAAAAA
rnacentral:lncRNA from 1 species